AUAAAUCACUGAGCUCGUUGCUUCCAUCUCCCUCCCUCCUCCAGUCCUCCUCCUCUCUCGCCCACCACCACCAUUAUAUUCUCCUCGGCCCACACCACAAUUCCCCCCAUCGUCCACACCACACCCGUCUCGUCCUAGCUCCCUACUCCUCCCGCUCGCCACUCCUCCGCCCCAGCUCUGCUCGCCCUCGACCGCGGGUCGCCAGGAAGGGCCUUCAGGAACGGGAUUUUUACCUAGGAGCAAAAUUUGGGUUUUAAAUCGCAGAUUGGAUUUGGGUUCAGGGAUGAGGGGAGAGGAGGGGCUGCAUCACCUGGCCCGGUUCCCAUCUCUCUGAACUUAGAUGGAUGCAUCUGUGAAGUCCAAGAAGGUUAGCUCUUGUGGAAACACCGGUCAUAGCCGCUGCGGCGAAGUUCAUAAACCUGUCCUGCCGUGUCGCAUGCGGGAUCGCUGCUUGAAUAGAAAUAAUCCCUUCUCACUUCAGGUCUGGUUUGCAUUUCCUUUUAAGUAUAAAAGCAACUGUAUUCAGCAUGACAUUUGAGUAAGCAUCAGAACCUCAAAGGCCAAGUUUGUCAGCAAUAUUAUACCGUUAUUGGUGUAACACUUCCAUAGAGAAGAUGGUGGAUGACCUGUUUUAUGAGGGCAACACUGAUCACAGCAUCAGCUCUGAGGACGAAGACACACUUGUCAGGAGUUGUAGUAAUCUCAGCGUAAGCUUUGGAUAUCAUUGCAAUUCUUAUCAGAGUUUCCCUCUUGAAAAUGAUGAGCAUGAUACCUCUCCCCAGAUGAGGUUUGAAACUAAUGCCAUGACUAAGUCACGAAAUGGCUCAUUUACUUGUUUAUCUGGUGCCGCAAUUAGUGCAAAUUUCACCCUGGCCAAUACAAAUAUAUGCAAGGGUCUUAUUGGGGAAGAAAUUUUACCAGAACUAGAUUCUCCAAAUUCUUUCAGAAAAAUCGUCUCUUCUCCAUCUAUGUCAAGGUUGGACUUGCUAUCCACCUCACAAGGCAGCCCUGCAUCAACUGAGAGCUCCAUAUUUGAAAUCAGUAAAAAUCUUUGGAGGUCCAGCGCUCCAACAACUGUAUCAUCCAAUUUUCUGACUGGUACCGAGGUAAAGAUGGCUGGUGGAGCUGCUGGAGAGGAUAGAGUUCAAGCUGUGUGCUCUGAAAAAAAUGGAUGGUUGAUUUGUGGAAUUUAUGAUGGAUUUAAUGGACGAGAUGCAGCUGAUUUUCUGGCAGUAACUCUAUAUGAUAACAUAGUAUAUUACCUAUACUUGUUAGAGUGCCGUAUCAAGCAACAAGAUGGCCUAUGUAGCUCAUCAGAGGACUCCCCUAAUGGUGUUAAAAGUGAGUUAACAUUAGCCAUGGAAAUUGCAGAGAAUGAAGAUGUAAAACUUUCUGAAAGUUUUCGAGCUGGUGUGCUGAAUUGCCUCACUUCUGCUGUUGAGCAAGCUGAGAAUGAUUUCUUAUGCAUGGUUGAACAGGAUAUGGAUGAUAGACCAGAUUUAGUUUCAGUUGGAUCUUGUGUCCUGGUUGUGCUUCUUCAGGGAACAGAUUUGUGCAUUCUAAAUCUUGGGGAUAGUAGAGCUGUGCUUGCUUCCAUGCCAUAUGCAGAAAUGGAUACAGUGAAAGCUACUCAAUUGACAGAGAUCCACUCACUUGAAAAUCCAUUGGAAUACCAAAAACUAUUAGCUGACCAUCCUAAUGACUCUAAAGUUGUGAUGGGUAACAAAGUAAAAGGGAAGCUGAAGGUUACUCGUGCUUUUGGAGUUGGCUACCUUAAACAGAAAAAGUUCAAUGAUGCACUCAUGGGGAUUCUCCGAGUUCGUAAUUUGUGCAGCCCGCCUUACGUAUAUACAAAUCCACACACACUGAGUCACAAGGUUACGGAAGACGAUCUGUUUGUUGUGCUUGGCAGUGAUGGCUUGUUUGAUUUCUUCACUAAUGAUGAAGUUGUUCAGUUGGUUUACCAAUUUAUGCAUGAUAAUCCAACUGGCGAUCCUGCAAAAUAUCUCAUUGAGCAAGUUGUACAUAAAGCUGCCAAAGAAGCAGCUUUAACAGCCGAACAGUUGAUGAGGAUACCUGUUGGGAGCAGAAGAAAGUACCAUGACGAUGUGACUGUCAUUGUUAUCAUCCUUGGGAACGCACGAAGGACGGACUUUGGAGGUAGGAGUAGUCCAGGAUCGGAGAGAGAUAGAGAGCGUCCAUGGACGUGUUCAUACACGAGGACUACGUGAACAAGCGCAACAUGGUGAAGAGGGAGCAGAGGAAGAAGACGCAGUUGCAGGUGCUGCAGCUGGGCAGCCCAGGCGCAUGCCGGCCGCCGCCGGCGCACAGGGAGGACAGCCUGGGAGCGGGAGCGCCGAGGCAGUGCCUGACGCCAACCGGCGUCUUACCUUCGUCCGCCGUCGGGUCUCCCGCGUCAGGCUCGUCGGAGGGAGCCAUCUCAUCGGAUCACCGCCGUCACCUCUUCGAUUGCCUGAAGCCGUACUAGGCAGGCAACAGAGGUUAUGUGUGAGGUUAAAGAAUAAACCUGGGGUUCUUCUGAUGGUGAAGUUUGUUGCAACCCAUUUUUGUGCUCGUAUUUCAGCUAUGUAUGUAUGGGCCGUUACAAGAUGAACCCUUGUGAAGAGUGUUGCCUGCUAUGAACAACUACAGCUUUUGGAAUGGAUUGUGUUACUGCAUUUAAACUCUCUAA